rnacentral:rRNA from 1 species
GAGGAAUAUUGGUCAAUGGACGGAAGUCUGAACCAGCCAAGUAGCGUGCAGGAUGACGGCCCUAUGGGUUGUAAACUGCUUUUGUAUGGGGAUAAAGUUAGGGACGUGUCCCUAUUUGCAGGUACCAUACGAAUAAGGACCGGCUAAUUCCGUGCCAGCAGCCGCGGUAAUACGGAAGGUCCAGGCGUUAUCCGGAUUUAUUGGGUUUAAAGGGAGCGUAGGCUGGAGAUUAAGUGUGUUGUGAAAUGUAGACGCUCAACGUCUGAAUUGCAGCGCAUACUGGUUUCCUUGAGUACGCACAACGUUGGCGGAAUUCGUCGUGUAGCGGUGAAAUGCUUAGAUAUGACGAAGAACUCCGAUUGCGAAGGCAGCUUACGGGAGCACAACUGACGCUGAAGCUCGAAGGUGCGGGUAUCAAACAGGAUUAGAUACCCUGGUAGUCCGCACAGUAAACGAUGGAUGCCCGUUGUUAGUUCACUUAAGAAUUAGCGACCAAGCGAAAGCAUUAAGCAUCCCACCUGGGGAGUACGCCGGCAACGGUG